UCGGGAAUUUUGGGCAAUGGGCGAAAGCCUGACCCAGCAACGCCGCGUGAAGGAUGAAGUAUUUCGGUAUGUAAACUUCGAAAGAAUAGGAAGAAUAAAUGACGGUACUAUUUAUAAGGUCCGGCUAACUACGUGCCAGCAGCCGCGGUAAUACGUAGGGACCAAGCGUUGUUCGGAUUUACUGGGCGUAAAGGGCGCGUAGGCGGCUUGACAAGUCACUUGUGAAAUCUCUGGGCUUAACCCAGAACGGCCAAGUGAAACUGUCAUGCUAGAGUGCAGAAGGGGCAAUCGGAAUUCUUGGUGUAGCGGUGAAAUGCGUAGAUAUCAAGAGGAACACCUGGGGUGAAGACGGGUUGCUGGGCUGACACUGACGCUGAGGCGCGAAAGCCAGGGGAGCAAACGGGAUUAGAUACCCAAGUAGUCCCUGAGCGGGCUGGCAAGGCGCAU
rnacentral:rRNA from 1 species